rnacentral:lncRNA from 1 species
UUAAAUAUAUCUUAAAUAAAAUCCAACCAAAUAUUAUUUUAAUCCUAGUUAAAAUCCAAAUAGUUCUUAAUUAAAUCUUAAAUCAAAUCCUAACUGAAUUCUAAAUAAAUCCUAAAUCCUAACCAAUUCUUAAAUCCUAAACCACACUUUAAUCAAAUUAACCUAAUCCAAAGGUAGUUUAGCACCUCAAUAUCUAUCAAUUAUAUUAUUUAUCUUGCUUAAGAUUUUAUACACCUUUCAAUAACUAAGUUAACAACAAGCAUACAAAUUUUGAAGAAAAUUGAACUUACCAAAUAGAAGAUUAAUCCUAAAUUCUACUUGAGUAUUUACCAGCCUCCCACUCUAAUCUAAAUGUUGAACUUCCAAUACCAAUAUUUCCUUCUUGAACUAUUAAAUUGCUUCCAAAAUAUACUUAAACUGUGGAAUAUUAAGUCUAGUUUCUAUAUAAAAAAAUUUCACUUCACUCUAAUUGACAGAUUGCUAAAAAUCUUAAGAAUAUUCACUAACCCUCAAAUUCUAAUUUUUGAGACUUCAAUCCAUAAAAACCUAUAUACAUUUUAAUCUAACUAUUUGAUUUACCUCAAAAUCUUUACACACACUAAUAACUAAAAUACCAACAUACUAUUCAAAAUUCAUUU